rnacentral:rRNA from 1 species
GACAGCUAGGAUGUUGGCUUGGAAGCAGCCAUUCAUUUAAAGAGUGCGUAACAGCUCACUAGUCGAGCGGACGAGCAUGGAUAAUAAUCGGGCAUAAGCAUACUACCGAAGCUAUGGAUUUGUAGUAAUACAAGUGGUAGGGGAGCAUUCUAAACUGGGUCGAAGGUGUGAUGUGAGUCAUGCUGGACUGUUUAGAAAAGAAAAUGUAGGCAUAAGUAACGAUAAUGCGGGCGAGAAACCCGCACACCGAAAAACUAAGGUUUCCGCAGCUAUGCUAAUCAGCUGCGGGUUAGUCGGGUCCUAAGGCGCACCCGAAGGGGGAAGUCGAUGGCCAACGGGUUAAUAUUCCCGUACUACUUAUAAUUGUGAUGGAGAGACGCAGUGGUGAAAGUACCGCGAACUGACGGAAUAGUUCGUUAAAGCACUUAGCUAUAGGCCCGGUAGGCAAAUCCGCUGGGACUGGUGAAAUGCGAUAGUACUCAGAGUCUUCGGACAACGAGAUAGUGUACCUAAAGGCUGCCAAGAAAAUCUUCUAAACUUAGAUUAUAAGUACCCGUACCGUAAACCGACACAGGUAGUUGAGGAGAGAAUCCUAAGGUGCUCGAGAGAUUCAUGGCUAAGGAAUUAGGCAAAAUAGACCUGUAACUUCGGGAGAAAGGUCGCCAGCAGCAAUGCUGGCCGCAGUGAAGAGGUCCAGGCGACUGUUUAUCAAAAACACAGGGCUCUGCAAAAUCGUAAGAUGAAGUAUAGGGCCUGACACCUGCCCGGUGCUUGAAGGUUAAGUGGAGAUGUUAUCUUCGGAGAAGCAUUGAAAUGAAGCCCAAGUAAACGGCGGCCGUAACUAUAACGGUCCUAAGGUAGCGAAAUUCCUUGUCGGGUAAGUUCCGACCUGCACGAAUGGUGUAACGAUCUGGACACUGUCUCAGCCAUGAGCUCGGUGAAAUUGUAGUAUCGGUGAAGAUGCCGAUUACCCGCAGUGGGACGAAAAGACCCUGUGCACCUUUACUAUAGCUUAGUAUUGACCUUGGACACGUGAUGUGUAGGAUAGGUGGGAGACUAUGAAGGGGCUUCGCUAGGAGUUCUGGAGUCAUUGUUGAAAUACCACCCUUUGCUUGUCUGAGGCCUAACCCCGCUGUGCGGGGGACAUUGCUUGGUGGGUAGUUUGACUGGGGUGGUCGCCUCCAAAAGAGUAACGGAGGCUUCUAAAGGUUCCCUCAGCACGCUUGGUAACCGUGCGUAGAGUGCAAUGGCAUAAGGGAGCUUGACUGAGAGACAUACAGGUCGAUCAGGUACGAAAGUAGAGCAUAGUGAUCCGGUGGUUCCGCAUGGAAGGGCCAUCGCUCAAAGGAUAAAAGGUACGCCGGGGAUAACAGGCUGAUCUCCCCCAAGAGCUCAUAUCGACGGGGGGGUUUGGCACCUCGAUGUCGGCUCGUCACAUCCUGGGGCUGGAGAAGGUCCCAAGGGUUGGGCUGUUCGCCCAUUAAAGUGGCACGCGAGCUGGGUUCAGAACGUCGUGAGACAGUUCGGUCCCUAUCUGUUGUGGGCGUUGGAAAAUUGAGAGAAUCUGACCUUAGUACGAGAGGACCGGGUUGGACGCACCUCUGGUGGAUCUGUUAUGGCGCCAGCUGUAUCGCAGAGUAGCUACGUGCGGAAUAGAUAAGCGCUGAAAGCAUCUAAGCGCGAAACUAGUCUCAAGAUGAGUUUUCCUUUAAGGGUCGUAGAAGACUACUACGUUGAUAGGCUACAGAUGUAAAUACAGUAAUGUAUGAGUCGAGUAGUACUAAUUACCCGUAGACUUACCU